UCCUACGGGAGGCAGCAGUGGGGAAUAUUGCGCAAUGGGGGAAACCCUGACGCAGCAACGCCGCGUGAAGGAAGAAGGUUUUCGGAUUGUAAACUUCUUUUAUCAAGGACGAAAAUGACGGUACUUGAUGAAUAAGCCACGGCUAACUACGUGCCAGCAGCCGCGGUAAUACGUAGGUGGCAAGCGUUGUCCGGAUUUACUGGGUGUAAAGGGCGAGUAGGCGGGAUAUCAAGUCAGAUGUGAAAUCUGGGGGCUUAACCCCCAAACUGCAUUUGAAACUGAUGUUCUUGAGUGAUGGAGAGGCAGGCGGAAUUCCCGGUGUAGCGGUGGAAUGCGUAGAUAUCGGGAGGAACACCAGUGGCGAAGGCGGCCUGCUGGACAUUAACUGACGCUGAGGAGCGAAAGCGUGGGGAGCAAACAGGAUUAGAUACCCGUGUAGUCCA
rnacentral:rRNA from 1 species